rnacentral:rRNA from 1 species
GACGAACGCUGGCGGCGUGCCUAAUACAUGCAAGUCGCGCGGACUUCUUCGGAAGUCAGCGGCGGACGGGUGAGUAACACGUGGGCAAUCUGCCUUUCAGACUGGAAUAACGCCUGGAAACGGGUGCUAAUGCCGGAUAGGCAACGAGUAGGCAUCUACUGGUUGGGAAAGGUGCUACGGCACCACUGAAAGAGGAGCCCGCGGCGCAUUAGCUAGUUGGUGGGGUAACGGCCUACCAAGGCGACGAUGCGUAGCCGACCUGAGAGGGUGACCGGCCACACUGGGACUGAGACACGGCCCAGACUCCUACGGGAGGCAGCAGUAGGGAAUCUUCGGCAAUGGGCGCAAGCCUGACCGAGCAACGCCGCGUGAGCGAAGAAGGCCUUCGGGUUGUAAAGCUCAGUCAUCCGGGAAGAGAGACCAGGGGAGGGAAUGCCCCUGGAGAGACGGUACCGGGAGAGGAAGCCCCGGCUAACUACGUG